rnacentral:tRNA from 1 species
CAAUAGCUCAGCUGGUAGAGCAACUGAUUUGUAAUCAGUAGGUCCUUGGUUCAAAUCCGAGUUGU